UACGUAGGUGGCAAGCGUUAUCCGGAAUUAUUGGGCGUAAAGGGCGCGUAGGCGGCUGAACAAGUCAAAGGUGAAAUCCCUCGGCUCAACUGAGGAACUGCCUUUGAAACUGUUCGGCUUGAGGCCGGGAGGGGGUAGCGGAAUUCCCAGUGUAGCGGUGAAAUGCGUAGAUAUUGGGAGGAACACCAGUGGCGAAGGCGGCUACCUGGACCGGUUCUGACGCUGAGGCGCGAAAGCGUGGGUAGCAAACAGG
rnacentral:rRNA from 1 species